UUUUUUUUUUUCUUUUUCUUUUUCUUUUUGUAGCAAAUUUUUACAAUUCUUUGGUUUAAAUGACUUUGUGAGGGUCACCUAUACCUGAGUUGCCCUUUUGCUUUCUUUUAUUUAUUUUGCUGGAUCAUUCACUUAUUUGCAUCGGUCCCCUACGUAAAGGAUGCGUAGGCCAGAGUUGACUGCUGAGAUAAACUACGGAGGACUUAUACAGAAAUGAUGAUUAAGGCCAUGGUAUAUGGGGUUUCGGGACUGAUUCCUAUAUUUACGAAGUCUAUGGUGCUAAAAU
rnacentral:lncRNA from 1 species